rnacentral:rRNA from 1 species
GUGGUAAUGCCGGAUGCUCCAUCACACCGCAUGGUGUGUUGGGAAAGCCUUUGCGGCAUGGGAUGGGGUCGCGUCCUAUCAGCUUGAUGGCGGGGUAACGGCCCACCAUGGCUUCGACGGGUAGCCGGCCUGAGAGGGCGACCGGCCACAUUGGGACUGAGAUACGGCCCAGACUCCUACGGGAGGCAGCAGUGGGGAAUAUUGCACAAUGGGCGCAAGCCUGAUGCAGCGACGCCGCGUGAGGGAUGGAGGCCUUCGGGUUGUAAACCUCUUUUGUUAGGGAGCAAGGCAUUUUUUGUUGAGUGUACCUUUCGAAUAAGCACCGGCUAACUACGUGCCAGCAGCCGCGGUAAUACGUAGGGUGCAAGCGUUAUCCGGAAUUAUUGGGCGUAAAGGGCUCGUAGGCGGUUCGUCGCGUCCGGUGUGAAAGUCCAUCGCUUAACGGUGGAUCCGCGCCGGGUACGGGCGGGCUUGAGUGCGGUAGGGGAGACUGGAAUUCCCGGUGUAACGGUGGAAUGUGUAGAUAU